CUGCGACUAUCUAUUGCUCGCCUUAAUACAUAAUAUUAUUAUUAUUAUUAUCUUCGUAGUCGUUUCAUUCGCCUACGCGACAACGUCGUUAACGCACGCACACGUCGUCUUCGUCGUCUCUGUCAGUUCUACAAUUAUUUCCGUGCUCGAUAUAAUGAUUUACACCGUCUCUCGUCAUAAUAAUUUUAUCACGCGUAGCAACAGUAUGCCGGUACAACGUCGUCGUGUAAUGUGUAUAAUAUAAGAGUUACGCCGAAAACUUUUUAUAAUAUAACGUCAUUCCGUCUUUUAGCAGAGGAAUUAUAUCUAUUAAAUGACAUACUAAGGAAUAUUGAAGAACGUACAUUCACAAUGGCACUAAAUUAAUAUAUUGCGGUUUUAAAAGUCAUAUACUUCUCAAGUGUUCAUUCGUAAAUGGGAUUUAAGUGAAGCAAAACAACAAAAUAUUUAUGAACCUAAUAUAUACGUAAAAAAAUUCUUAAGAUUAUAAGUACAUAAUACGCGAUAUCUAUGUGAUUUAUUUUAACUUUUAAGUUUAUUUUGUUGUUGUAUUCGUCGUUAUAACUCAAAAGUGUAAAUAUAUAUUUUAUUAUAGUAUGUGAAAUUACUUAAAAAUUUAGUUUAGACAAGUGGGGAACUCUAUUAAUGAAACAUUACCAUACAACCACUUGCAAACAUAUUAAAUAUUUUAAAAGUGUAUAUUAUUAUUAUUAUAAGUUUUAAAUGUGCAGUCGUAAGUAUAAAAAUGAUGUGCAGCUGUUGUACCUAAUGACAAUUUUAUUUUAUUUUUAUUCUAAUUACUAUAUUACUAUCAAGUGUCAACGAUGUAAAUAAUAUUAUAAUAUUUAUAGCUAUGCAUUAAAUAUUAGGUUAUAUAAUAAGUCUUAAGAAAAGUUUUAGUGACCGACGAUCGUCGCAUUGUAUACUCACAUAUUAUUAUUAUUAAUUUCUUAUAAAAGUAAAAUGUAAACAUUUCAUAAUUUUUGUAUUAUUUAAAUUGUAAUUGUUCAUUAGUUUAAACUUUAAAGUGUUAUUUUAAAACUAUACCUAAUAUAAUUUUAUAAUAAUAUAGCACUAUCGUUUUUGGUGCCAAAGCGCACAUAAUAUGUGUUUAGUUUUUUUUUAGUUUAAGAUCUGAAAGGGGCUGAAGCAAAUGUAUAAAGUUUCAUAAGUCUUCAAAAAUUUAACUUUGACACUAUAAUACUCAUCUCAGAUGGUGUAUAAAAUAUAAACUAUAAUACAAAUAUAUGAAUGGUCAGAUUCAGAUGAUUGCCUCUCCGAUC